rnacentral:ribozyme from 11 species
GAAAGUCUCCCCUCCUCUCUUGUACAGAGGCCGAGAGAAAGAAUGAUUUUCGAGAGAAGGGCACCGCGUCGGAAAGAAAUUCCGGAU